rnacentral:rRNA from 1 species
UACGUAGGGUGCAAGCGUUGUCCGGAAUUAUUGGGCGUAAAGAGCUCGUAGGCGGUUUGUCGCGUCGAAUGUGAAAACCCGGGGCUCAACCCCGGGCCUGCAUUCGAUACGGGCAGACUAGAGUUCGGUAGGGGAGUCUGGAAUUCCUGGUGUAGCGGUGAAAUGCGCAGAUAUCAGGAGGAACACCGAUGGCGAAGGCAGGUCUCUGGGCAUUAACUGACGCUGAGGAGCGAAAGCAUGGGGAGCGAACAGG